GACGAACGCUGGCGGCGCGCCUAACACAUGCAAGUCGAACGAGCGAGAGAGAGCUUGCUUUCUUGAGCGAGUGGCGAACGGGUGAGUAACGCGUGAGGAACCUGCCUCAAAGAGGGGGACAACAGUUGGAAAUGACUGCUAAUACCGCAUAAGCCCACGGCUCGGCAUCGAGCAGAGGGAAAAGGAGCAAUCCGCUUUGAGAUGGCCUCGCGUCCGAUUAGCUAGUUGGUGAGGUAACGGCCCACCAAGGCGACGAUCGGUAGCCGGACUGAGAGGUUGAACGGCCACAUUGGGACUGAGACACGGCCCAGACUCCUACGGGAGGCAGCAGUGGGGAAUAUUGCACAAUGGGGGAAACCCUGAUGCAGCGACGCCGCGUGGAGGAAGAAGGUCUUCGGAUUGUAAACUCCUGUUGUUGAGGAAGAUAAUGACGGUACUCAACAAGGAAGUGACGGCUAACUACGUGCCAGCAGCCGCGGUAAAACGUAGGUCACAAGCGUUGUCCGGAAUUACUGGGUGUAAAGGGAGCGCAGGCGGGAAGACAAGUUGGAAGUGAAAUCCAUGGGCUCAACCCAUGAACUGCUUUCAAAACUGUUUUUCUUGAGUAGUGCAGAGGUAGGCGGAAUUCCCGGUGUAGCGGUGGAAUGCGUAGAUAUCGGGAGGAACACCAGUGGCGAAGGCGGCCUACUGGGCACCAACUGACGCUGAGGCUCGAAAGUGUGGGUAGCAAACAGGAUUAGAUACCCUGGUAGUCCACACUGUAAACGAUGAUUAAGAGGUGUUGGAGGAUUGACCCCUUCAGUGCCGCAGUAACACAAUAAG
rnacentral:rRNA from 1 species